CUUGAUAAAACGAAAUAAAUCCCACUAAAACCAAAAAAACUUAAUAAAACAAACCAAAACCAUAAAACCCAUUUAAACAAGUGACCCAUAAUUUUUUAUAUAUCACUCUGGCCUAUUCCGAAUCUUGGUUCUGGUACGGGUAGAAAUUAUCGGGUCUGGGUUCAGGUUCCGUCUAGAGUUACAACCCGUGCGCAACUCUACCAAACAUAAACUCCAACGGCCAACCACCGAAACACUUCCUUUCUUUCCUCUCUGCUGUCCGUUGGAUUCCCUCCUGAAUUAAAAAAUAAUAAUUGAUUAAUUCCUCCUAAAAUAAUUUGCGAGUGAAAAUGGGUAAAACUAAGGACCCUGACGCACCAAAGCGCCCCCUCAGCGCUUUUUUCUAUUUUCUGGUGAAAUGAGGCCUAAGAUUCGCCAAGAAAAUCCCGGCCUUAGUUUGGGCGAAAUGGGGAAGGAGUUGGGGAAACGUUGGGCCUCAAUUGACGCCGCCUCCAAGAAAAAGUACGAAAAGGCUGCCGCUGCUGCAAAGGAGGAGUACCAGAAGAAAAUGGCCAAGUAUAAGGGAGAGUCGGCUCCAAAGGGGAAAAGGAAGAAUUGAAGAACUGACGACUGCAUAAUUGAUGGACAAAUUGUUGUCUACCUCAUUUAAUUCCAUUUUCUCAUCUGUAGAACUAAAUAUCAAGAUAAUAUUUGUUGUGUUUGUUGUUUGUUUGUUUGUUGUUCCCUAAUUUUUUGUGUCUAAUUUUUUAUAUGAAAUUUUAAAUUGGUAUGGAUUAAAUGAGUUUGAAUUUUGUA